rnacentral:rRNA from 1 species
GAUUGCCCUAGUAACGGCGAGUGAAGCGGCAACAGCUCAAAUUUGAAAUCUGGCCCUUUCAGGGUCCGAGUUGUAAUUUGUAGAGGGUGCUUUGGUGUUGACUACGGCCUAAGUUCCUUGGAACAGGACGUCACAGAGGGUGAGAAUCCCGUAUGUGGCUGCUAGCCUUCACCGUGUAAAGCCCCUUCGACGAGUCGAGUUGUUUGGGAAUGCAGCUCUAAAUGGGAGGUAAAUUUCUUCUAAAGCUAAAUACUGGCCAGAGACCGAUAGCGCACAAGUAGAGUGAUCGAAAGAUGAAAAGCACUUUGGAAAGAGAGUCAAAAAGCACGUGAAAUUGUUGAAAGGGAAGCGCUUGCAGCCAGACUUGCCUGUAGUUGCUCAUCCGGGCUCUUGCCCGGUGCACUCUUCUAUGGGCAGGCCAGCAUCAGUCUGGGCGGUCGGAUAAAGGCCCUGGGAAUGUAGCUCUCUUCGGGGAGUGUUAUAGCCCAGGGUGUCAUGCGACCAGCCUGGACUGAGGUCCGCGCAUCUGCUAGGAUGCUGGCGUAAUGGCUGUAAGCGGCCCGUCUUGAAACACGGACCAAGGAGUCUAACAUCUAUGCGAGUGUUUGGGUGUCAAGCCCGGGCGCGUAAUGAAAGUGAACGGAGGUGGGAACCCCUCGGGGUGCACCAUCGACCGAUCCUGAUGUCUUCGGAUGGAUUUGAGUAAGAGCAUAGCUGUUGGGACCCGAAAGAUGGUGAACUAUGCCUGAAUAGGGUGAAGCCAGAGGAAACUCUGGUGGAGGCUCGCAGCGGUUCUGACGUGCAAAUCGAUCGUCAAAUUUGGGCAUAGGGGCG